UACGCUUCUUUAAAUGUGCAGUUCGAUAAGAAACUUCAUUCUUCAACCUCGUUGAUCGCUCUCACCUUUGAUUGAACUGGAGGUAGGAGUUGUUGGGUUAGGCAUUUUGCAAACUUGUCAAACAGCUACUUCUCUGGAGGAGAAACUACCAUUACUUUAGUAGUUGUGACGAGAAGAUAGUUAUGAACGAUUAUGAUUCCGAUGCCAUUAGGUGGGGUCUUCGUCUUUUCAAUGGGGACUCAUCCUAUAGUACCGAGUACUUUCAUGACAUGGCACAACAUGAUGUUAAUUUCGAUGACCAUUAUCAUGGAAAUCGUUGCAAUAAUGAAGUUAACCACGUGGAGAACGAUGAGAUUAUUGCACACACUCUUCAGGAGGAGUUUACCCAAUUAGAAAUCGCAGAGGCCUCGGGCUGUUCAAAUGCAGAAGAGCCCUCCCAAACAUCUAAUUUUGCGCUGGGUUGGAACAAUCGGUCCUCAAGAAACUACAAAAAUGAGUCGGUUGAAGAUGAAGUUGAAACUAUGGAGCCUUCUAGUUCAUGUUCUAGUCCAAGUCAUGAAGAUAAUUACUUUCCAUACGGGCAUGAGAAUCUAGUAGAUUGGAAAAUGGAUCAAAUGAUUCCAGCGCCUCAUGUCCCAAGAACUAAUGGUGAGAUUCCUCCAAUUGAUGAAGUAACUUCAGAUCAUCAAAGGUUGCUGGAUAGGUUGAAGGUAUAUGAUUUUGUUGAACGAAAGGUUAAAGGGGAUGGUAACUGUCAGUUCCGUGCCUUAUCAGAUCAACUAUUUGGAACAUCUGAACGCCACAAGUUGGUGAGAGAAAAUGUUGUGAAUCAGCUCAAGUCACACCAGGAGAUUUAUGAGGGAUAUGUUCCCAUGGGAUACGAUGAUUAUUUGGAAAAGAUGUCCAUGAGUGGUGAGUGGGGUGAUCAUGUAACACUACAGGCAGCUGCAGAUUGGUAUGGCGUUAAGAUAUUCGUUAUGGCUUCUUUCAAGGAAACUUGUUGUAUAGAGAUCAUCCCUAAUUUCCAGAAGAAAAAACAAGUCAUUUUCCUGAGCUUUUGGGCAGAGGUGCAUUACAAUUCAAUCUAUCCUCAACGGGGUAACUAUUUUUAGUCUUCUAUUCACAGUGAACUUAGCUGCUUGAUACUUAUCACUCAUAUGUUAUAUUUGCAGAUGAGCAAUCAAAUGACUACAGAAAGAGGAGGAGAUGGUGGAUUUUUGGAUCCAAGCAUUGAAACUCUAAGCAAAAGGUGCAUUACGUCUCCUCUCCUGCUUUUCCCCUUGCUGGUGGUCGUGGUCUUCUUUAAAUUUUGAGAAGACUUGCGACACAUUCUUUUUACUAAUAAGUUUGAGAAACUCGGUCUGUCUUCCUCUGGAUCAUAUUCACCACUUUACAUUACAUAGAUUAAUAAAAUUUGCUGGCUUCUUGCACUUUGUUAACCCUUGAAUUACAAGCUCAACAGAUGUAAUAUUAUUGCUCUUGAUCAAAUGCAUUUCUAUGAAAAAUUA